CCUACGGGAGGCAGCAGUGGGGGAUAUUGCACAAUGGGGGAAACCCUGAUGCAGCGACGCCGCGUGGGUGAAGAAGCGCCUCGGCGCGUAAAGCCCUGUCAGCAGGGAAGAAAAUGACGGUACCUGAAGAAGAAGCCCCGGCUAACUACGUGCCAGCAGCCGCGGUAAUACGUAGGGGGCAAGCGUUAUCCGGAUUUACUGGGUGUAAAGGGGGCGCAGACGGCGAUGCAAGCCAGGAGUGAAAGCCCGGGGCCAAACCCCGGGACUGCUCUGGGAACUGCGUGGCUAGAGUGCAGGAGGGGCAGGCGGAAUUCCUGGUGGAGCGGUGAAAUGCGUAGAUAUCAGGAGGAACACCGGGGGCGAAGGCGGCCUGCUGGACUGCAACUGACGUUGAGGCCCGAAAGCGUGGGGAGCAAACAGGAUUAGAUACCCCUGUAGUC
rnacentral:rRNA from 1 species